UACAGAGGUCUCAAGCGUUGUUCGGAUUCAUUGGGCGUAAAGGGUGCGUAGGCGGCUUGGUAAGUCGGGGGUGAAAGUCAGCGGCUCAACCGCUGGACUGCCUUCGAGACUGCCUGGCUUGAGCAUGGUAGAGGCUGGCGGAAUUCCCGGUGUAGCGGUGAAAUGCGUAGAUAUCGAGAGGAACACCUGCGGCGAAGGCGGGUUGCUGGGCUGACACUGACGCUGAAGCGCGAAAGCUAGGGGAGCGAACGGG
rnacentral:rRNA from 1 species